ACAGUUUUGGGCAAACGUUUCCCGCGCAAGUUUGAUUCUCUCUCAGUCAGUCAGGGGGAGAUUAAUUGCCUGACUGUCUACACGCCACCAAACAGUCAGUUAUACAGAAACCUUUUUAAGUUUAGUUUGAAUCUCUCUCAGUCAGUCAGGAGGAGAUUAACUGACAGACUGUAUAACGUUACACGCCACCAAACAGUCUUACCAAGAAACCUUUUACAGUUUAGCACAAAUGUUUCCCGUGGAAGUUUGAAUCUCUCUCAGUCAGGGGGGAGAUUGACUGACAGACGGUCUACUUGCCACCAAACAGUAAUUUACCCUGAAACCUUUUUAAGUUUAGCGCAAACGUUUCCUGAGCAAGUUUGAAUCUCUCAGUCAGGGGGGAGAUUGACUGACUGACUGACUGUCUACUCGCCACCAAACAGUCAGUUACACAGAGGUAACAAGUAAGGACUAACGUUAACUAACUGUCUGUCUGUCUGCUCUCAACCAAACAGUCAUUCAAGACCUUUUAAAGUUUAUUGCAAACGUUUCCAGCGCAAGUUUGAAUCUCUCUCAGUCAGGGGGGAGAUUGACUGACAGACUGUCUACUGGCCACCAAACAGUAAUCUACACAGAAACCUUUUAAAGUUUAGCACAAACGUUUCCCGCGCAAGUUUGGAUCUUUACCAUUGAGGGUGGCUGACUGUUUUCGACCAACCAUCAUUCACACGCAAAAACUUUAAAGAUAAGUAUGAAUGUGCCCAGAGCAGUUUUCUAUCUUUACCAUUAAGGAGGCUGACUGACUAUCCUCUACCACCCGUCAUUAACACAAGAAAAACUAAAGAAAUGUUACUCCAUAUGGACCUAUUCAUUUACUCAUUAUGCUGUGAGUACACCACAGUUUUAUCAGGGAAAAAUUUAUAUUUGUGUGUUUCUCACUGCUUGACAAGGACAGAUGUGGCCCUGUUAAAAAUGUUUAAAUGUCGUUUGGUUUAAGGAACAGCACACUGAAUUUGUUUUAAAAUAUUCCUGUUUGGACAGUCUGUUAAAGUCAUAAAGGAACACUUGAUAUAUUUCAUAAGUAAAGUGUAAAUGUAAUAUUAGUUUUUAAUGUUGUGAAUUUGGACUGAACAGCACACUUCUGUUUUAUAUCUAAACCUUUUUUAAAAUAAAUGAUUGUUGAAUAAACUCACUGUGUAUUUUAUCUUUUCUGUUAUCAUUUUUUUAUACUAAUGUUUAAAAUGUACCUUUACACUAAACGAUUGGCUACACCAACACAAAUA